rnacentral:lncRNA from 1 species
GAGCACCAGAGAAAGAGAGUGAGAGGAGAGAGUAGUUCUGAAGGUGAAAGCCCAAGAAGGAGUUCUUGAGCUGUGAAGGUCCAUCUUCUUCCUUCUCCCUUUCAGCCAACCUUCUGCCUCCCUGCGAGCUAGCACUCCCCAGAAAGCUGAUCAUUCCGGAGCUUCGCAUGGACGAGUCAUCGAGGCCGGACGCUUGUGCGGCUGCGAAGCAUCCUUGAAGGAACCUCCUUCUAAAGGUAAGAGAUCUGAUCUCUUUUAUGGUUGAGAUAUGAUCUCAAUCUUCAAAUCACAAGAAGUUGUGAUUUAUGCAUAUUUAUUUGAAUUACACAAUCCUCGAGAUCUGAGGGCUUUGUGAUAUUUGGUGUCAAAGCAAAGGAUUAGUGGAGACUAUCCGAUUUUUGAAAACUCUCACGCGUGAUCGUGUGACGAAGCGUGGCUCUCCACCCGGGGGCUCAUAUGAUGAGUGCUUUGAUAGGCACGCGCGGGUGUCACCCUAUAUAUUGGGACUGAGCCCGCGCCACAUGCGAUGUGCAGUUGAAGACUGUCUUCGACUGGUACCAGCGUUAAAAUAUCUAAAAUAUCAAGCAUGUUUUGGGUUAA